rnacentral:rRNA from 1 species
UGAACUCGCUGUGAAGAUGCAGUGUACCCGCGGCAAGACGGAAAGACCCCGUGAACCUUUACUAUAGCUUGACACUGAACAUUGAGCCUUGAUGUGUAGGAUAGGUGGGAGGCUUUGAAGUGUGGACGCCAGUCUGCAUGGAGCCGACCUUGAAAUACCACCCUUUAAUGUUUGAUGUUCUAACGUUGACCCGUAAUCCGGGUUGCGGACAGUGUCUGGUGGGUAGUUUGACUGGGGCGGUCUCCUCCUAAAGAGUAACGGAGGAGCACGAAGGUUGGCUAAUCCUGGUCGGACAUCAGGAGGUUAGUGCAAUGGCAUAAGCCAGCUUGACUGCGAGCGUGACGGCGCGAGCAGGUGCGAAAGCAGGUCAUAGUGAUCCGGUGGUUCUGAAUGGAAGGGCCAUCGCUCAACGGAUAAAAGGUACUCCGGGGAUAACAGGCUGAUACCGCCCAAGAGUUCAUAUCGACGGCGGUGUUUGGCACCUCGAUGUCGGCUCAUCACAUCCUGGGGCUGAAGUAGGUCCCAAGGGUAUGGCUGUUCGCCAUUUAAAGUGGUACGCGAGCUGGGUUUAGAACGUCGUGAGACAGUUCGGUCCCUAUCUGCCGUGGGCGCUGGAGAACUGAGGGGGGCUGCUCCUAGUACGAGAGGACCGGAGUGGACGCAUCACUGGUGUUCGGGUUGUCAUGCCAAUGGCACUGCCCGGUAGCUAAAUGCGGAAGAGAUAAGUGCUGAAAGCAUCUAAGCACGAAACUUGCC